GGAACAGAGAGCCGAGCUGUCCUGUGACAGUGGAAUUUGUACCAGAAGCGACUGUAUGGUCAGGCCCAGCGGAAGACGGGGUGGUGAGGCAAAUCCCAGCCGAGGGAUCUUUAAAAGCCUCUCUCAGCGAGGCCGGUCCUUCUCGGUGAUGGAGGGGCUAUAAAUCACAUGCUCUGCCCGGCGUCUCCAUCAGGCCUUCCUCUCCGCUCCGGAGCUGGGAGUGAAGUCCAGUUGCCACAAGGAAUCGGCACCUGAUGUGGUGGUCCCCCCACCCCCAGGCGCCCUGCCCGGAGGCUCAAGAUGAACGUGAGGCGGUCACACUGGCUCUAAGGACAAAGCUGGUACCAUGGGGACGUCUCGGUCCCCUUCCCAUGUGCACGCAUCUGGCCCAGGAGAUGUGUAGGCACGACACAGGAGUGGCUUAGCUGGAAUUAACACAACGCAGCCUGAGGGCAUAUGUGGACCAUUUGGAACUCAAGGCCCCAGGAGGUGGCCCAGUAGCAGCAGUAAGGUGCCUCUGGAAGGUGAGACCUCCCUAAUACUGUUUGUGCCAUUUCAUCAAGAUUUGCAGAAACGGUAGAGCUGAUCGUACACGCAGAACUACCACGUUCCUGGCAGACAUCUCCUCCCUUCACGCAUCUUAGAGCAGAAGGCGCAGCUGCAACCUGAGAGAACAUGGUCCUAAAUGCAGAAUCCUCGUGAUGGGGAAGUCAAGGACUGAUUGCUUUAGAUGAAGAAAAUGGUUAAAUCACUUGAAUAGAAUGCCCCUAUCGCACCUGUCUACUCCCGACACUGACAGAUCACUGCCUGGCGCAGUCACCAUGGGAACAAGGCUGUAGAUAACUCGUACCACGGUGUUAACUGGGUUAAUUUUGUGUAGAAAAAAUCGCCUCGGUUCAAAAGAAGCUGGUUCCUUUAAAUAUCUGAUUACGGAGCCCGGCUAACUCACUCACACAGAGAGCUCUGGGGAGGGGGAAGGGAAGUGACGGGGAUGGAAAACAGCUGAGGAAUAGUGACAUCAGAUGCUCCCAGUACAACAGCCAGAGAGAGGACGCCAGCCAGGCAGAACGUUAGAGGUAACGGAAGGGACCUGGAGCAUAUUUAUAUUUUGUAGAAUGCAGUUUGCUCCAGAAAUGGAAAUUAUUCCAGGAAGGUCAGAGAGAAGACGCUGCUGUAGAUGGAAAGUGCAGCUGAGCAGAAACCCCAGGACCCAAAAAAGAAUCGGAUCAUGACACUGUGACUCUAAGUAACUUAUCGACUGCAGAGCAGGACUUUCAGCGGACUUACGCCCUGGGGCUUUGCCCUGUAAAAACGGCUGAGCAGGUCAAAGCAGAGGUGCCACACAUUAGGAACUGCAUACUGUCUCUUCUUAUUGUGCACUUUUAUUUUCUGUUUAACUUGCACAUGCCAUUUAUUUGUUUUUUUAAAAUUGAGAUAUAAGAUACUACCAAAAAAGGUCAAAUGUGUAAAGUAUACGAAUCUAUGUGUAUAGCUUCACGAAUCUCACAUACAUGUAUAUAAACAUACAUCAAUGUAAUCAACAUCCAGAUCAAGAUACAAAAUACUUCCCCCACCCUAGAAAGCUCCCCAGCGAUGCCCAGCAAGCCCACCAGAAGGAAAGGGCAUCCUUACUUCGAGCACCUGAGUUAGUUCUGCCUGUCCUCGAUAAACGCGAGAAAUGAGUCAGGCAGCAUUCGCUUCUGGCUUUUUACUCAACACAAGGUGUGUAAGAUUCAUCCGCGUUAUUGUGCACAUCAGUCGUUGGUCUUUAAUGUUGUGGUUUACAUUGUGUUGGAUGACUAUACUCCUCAUUUAUUGAUCUCUUCUCCUGUUGACGGACAUUUGUGCUGUGUCCAGCUUGAGGCAGUUAGGAAUAAAGCUUUGGUGAAAAUUGUUAUGUGAUUUUCUGUUGUUGUACCUAUGUGCCCAUUUCUUC
rnacentral:lncRNA from 1 species